rnacentral:rRNA from 1 species
AGAGCGAACGCUGGCGGCAGGCCUAACACAUGCAAGUCGAACGCACCUUCGGGUGAGUGGCGGACGGGUGAGUAACACGUGGGAACGUACCUUUUGGUUCGGAAUAACGCAGGGAAACUUGCGCUAAUACCGAAUGUGCUCCGUAAGGAGGAAAGAUUUAUCGCCAUUAGAGCGGCCCGCGUUAGAUUAGCUAGUUGGUGAGGUAAAGGCUCACCAAGGCUACGAUCUAUAGCUGGUCUGAGAGGAUGAUCAGCCACAUUGGGACUGAGACACGGCCCAAACUCCUACGGGAGGCAGCAGUGGGGAAUCUUGCGCAAUGGGCGAAAGCCUGACGCAGCCAUGCCGCGUGAAUGAUGAAGGUCUUAGGAUUGUAAAAUUCUUUCAGUAGGGACGAUAAUGACGGUACCUACAGAAGAAGCCCCGGCUAACUUCGCGCCAGCAGCCGC